UUGACCUCGGAUCAGGUAGGGAUACCCGCUGAACUUAAGCAUAUCAAUAAGCGGAGGAAAAGAAACCAACUGGGAUUGCCUUAGUAACGGCGAGUGAAGCGGCAAUAGCUCAAAUUUGAAAGCUGGCGCCUUCGGCGUCCGCGUUGUAAUUUGUAGAGGAUGCUUCGGCGAGGACUCCUGCCUAAGUUCCCUGGAAUGGGACGUCACAGAGGGUGAGAAUCCCGUAUGUGGCGGGCGGUCCAAGCCAUGUGAAGCUCCUUCGACGAGUCGAGUUGUUUGGGAAUGCAGCUCUAAAUGGGAGGUAAAUUUCUUCUAAAGCUAAAUACCGGCCAGAGACCGAUAGCGCACAAGUAGAGUGAUCGAAAGAUGAAAAGCACUUUGGAAAGAGAGUUAAAAAGUACGUGAAAUUGUUGAAAGGGAAGCGCUUGCAACCAGACUCGCUCGCAGUUGCUCAGCCUGCCUCUUGGCGGGUGUACUCUUCUGUGAUCGGGCCAGCAUCAGUUCGGGCGGCCGGAUAAAGGUGUCGGGAAUGUAGCACCCUUCGGGGUGUGUUAUAGCCCGGCGCGGAAUGCGGCCAGCCUGGACUGAGGAUCUCGCUUCGGCAAGGAUGCUGGCGUAAUGGUUGUAAGCGGCCCGUCU
rnacentral:rRNA from 2 species